GCUGUCCACAAAGGGAGGGCUCAGAGCUCCAGACAGUGGGGCUGCCUUUUGUAUCUCCUAGAAGGACUUUUGGAGAUGUUUGUAAAGCACUUGACACUGCCACAGGAGGAGAGGUGGCCAUCAAGAAAAUACAGCUUCAAGGACUGAGGAAGAAGGAAC